rnacentral:rRNA from 1 species
CCUACGGGUGGCAGCAGUGGGGGAUAUUGCACAAUGGGGGAAACCCUGAUGCAGCGACGCCGCGUGGGUGAAGACGCGCCUCGGCGCGUAAAGCCCUGUCAGCAGGGAAGAAAAUGACGGUACCUGAGGAAGAAGCCCCGGCUAACUACGUGCCAGAAGCCGCGGUAAUACGUAGGGGGCAAGCGUUAUCCGGAUUUACUGGGUGUAAAGGGGGCGCAGACGGCGUUGCAAGCCAGGAGUGAAAGUCUGGGGCCCAACCCCGGGACUGCUGUUGGAACUGGGUGGCUAGAGUGCAGGAGGGGUAGGCGGAAUUCGUGGUGUAGCGGUGAAAUGCGUAGAUAUCAGGAGGAACACCGGUGGCGAAGGCGGCCUGCUGGACUGCAACUGACGUUGAGGCUCGAAAGCGUGGGGAGCAAACAGGAUUAGAUACCCGGGUAGUC